rnacentral:rRNA from 1 species
GAUGAACGCUAGCGGGAGGCCUAACACAUGCAAGCCGAGCGGUAUUGUUUCUUCGGAAAUGAGAGAGCGGCGUACGGGUGCGGAACACGUGUGCAACCUGCCUUUAUCUGGGGGAUAGCCUUUCGAAAGGAAGAUUAAUACUCCAUAACAUAUUGAACGGCAUCGUUUAAUAUUGGAAGCUCCGGCGGAUAGAGAUGGGCACGCGCAAGAUUAGCUAGUUGGUGAGGUAACGGCUCACCAAGGCGAUGAUCUUUAGGGGGCCUGAGAGGGUGAUCCCCCACACUGGUACUGAGACACGGACCAGACUCCUACGGGAGGCAGCAGUGAGGAAUAUUGGUCAAUGGGUGCAAGCCUGAACCAGCCAUCCCGCGUGAAGGACGACUGCCCUAUGGGUUGUAAACUUCUUUUGUAUAGGGAUAAACCUACCCUCGUGAGGGUAGCUGAAGGUACUAUACGAAUAAGCACCGGCUAACUCCGUGCCAGCAGCCGCAGUAAAAC